UACGGAGGGUGCAAGCGUUGCUCGGAAUUAUUGGGCGUAAAGGGCAGGUAGGUGGUCUCAUUUGUCUGGGGUGAAAGCCUUGAGCUUAACUCAAGAAGUGCCCCAGAAACGGUGAGACUGGAGUCCUGGAGAGGGUUGUGGAAUUCCCGGUGUAGCGGUGAAAUGCGUAGAGAUCGGGAGGAACACCAGAGGCGAAAGCGGCGACCUGGACAGGCACUGACACUCAACUGCGAAAGCGUGGGGAGCAAACAGG
rnacentral:rRNA from 1 species